GUGUCAUCUCUCAGGUGCAGCUGGUCCAGACCGGCCUGGGGACGGUGAAAGCUGGAGAGACCCUCAGUAUCACCUGUAAAGUCUCUGGCGUCUCCGUCAGCAACUACUAUUGGAGCUGGGUCCGGCAGCCCCCUGGGAAAGAGCUGGAGUGGAUGGGGUUUAUCCGACACACAGUUAACGGGGGGACCACAGAGUAUAACUCGGCUUUCACACCUCGUGUCACCAUCACCAGGGACACCUCAAAGGACGAAGUUUAUCUCCAGCUCCGCUCGCUGACAACUGCAGACACCGGCACCUAUUACUGUGGCCGCCACACACAGUGA